GACGAACGCUGGCGGCGUGCUUAACACAUGCAAGUCGAACGGAAAGGCCCUGCUUUUGUGGGGUGCUCGAGUGGCGAACGGGUGAGUAACACGUGAGUAACCUGCCCUUGACUUUGGGAUAACUUCAGGAAACUGGGGCUAAUACCGGAUAGGAGCUCCUGCUGCAUGGUGUUGGUUGGAAAGUUUCGGCGGUUGGGGCUGGACUCGCGGCUUAUCAGCUUGUUUGUGGGGUAGUGGCUUACCAAGGCUUUGACGGGUAGCCGGCCUGAGAGGGUGACCGGCCACAUUGGGACUGAGAGACGGACCAGACUCCUACGGGAGGCAGCAGGGGGGAAUAUUGCACAAUGGGCGGAAGCCUGAUGCAGCAACGCCGCGUGCGGGAUGACGGCCUUCGGGUUGUAAACCGCUUUCGAAUGUGACGAAGAGUGAGUGACGGUAAUGGGUAAAGAAGCACCGGCUAACUACGUG
rnacentral:rRNA from 1 species